rnacentral:lncRNA from 1 species
CAUCAUCACACUUGCAACACAGCUACAUUUGGAAUACAAGACAACAAACAGGCUGAAUGGCUGCCUCUCUAUUAAGCCCAUCUUAGUUCUGAAAGAUGAGCAUGCUCCAGGUUUGAUACUGGAAUCUGCUUUCAGGACAUCUGUGACCUGCUGAAAUGGCUUCCUGAGAUAAAGGCUAGAGAGGCUUCUCUAAGGACCUGCUGCAUUUGGAGUGGAGGUUCAAACUUCUUUAGUAAGGAGGACUCAGCUUUCUUCCCUCCAGAGUAUGUGGCAUCAGGUGUCAUCUUCAAGCAGAGUACAGACAUUACAGACAUCACUGGACAAUUGAACCCACUGGAACCCUGACCUUGAGACAUGCAGCCUUCAGAACUUGACAAAUACACUUUUGUUCUAUAUAGAUAUCCAGUCUGUGCUAUAUAUUAGAGGAUGGAAUGGAGUAAGAUGAUGUGAAGAUGCAGACCCUAUGCUAUUGGUAGGAAAGCAGACCAGUGCUGUCAUGGAAAAUACUGAGAAUGCCCCUCAAAACAUGAAGAUACAUCUACCAUUGAUGCAGAAACUGACUGCUGUUUCUCUACCUGACCAAAUCAGGCUCCAACACUAGGAUCUACUGGUCCAGGAACCACCUGGCCAAUUGCAACAUCACCACGAUGUGGGUUGGUGGCCCAUUGCACAGUGCUACUGAAAUGACAAGUUCAGCAAAGACACCAAUACUGUGUAAAGGUAUCAUUGGCACUACAUAAAGCCAAGCCAGACUUGGAGGAAAAGAAGUCAAGACAGAAGUUAUGAACAAAGACACAUGUGGAUAACAUCUUACUGAAUAUGGACUUAGCAAUAAUAGAAUAUUUAUUAUUAUUAUUUAGUCAAUUUGAUGAUUAUGAGCAUUUUAUUACUUUUCAUAAUGAUAUCACUUUCCCAGGAUUAGUGAAGUAUACAUUUUUUUGUAGGAAAGAAAGCUGUGAAUGCUGUGGAUGUAGAAACACAUAUGUCUUUAUAAGUUCUAGUCUCAGAGUGUAGUAAAGGUUGACAUGAUGUCAUCAUGAAGUUCUUACAAAUGUUUCUCAUAACUUAGAAAUUUCUGAAUCUGUUAUUUAUUGCAAUUUUUCAAAGCUGAUCUAAACUCUUCAUCUGAAUGAAAAGCUGUGA